rnacentral:misc_RNA from 1 species
UCCGGUUUAUCACCGGCAGUCUCCUUAAAGUCCCCGACAUAACUCGCUGGUAACUAAGGACAAGGGUUGCGCUCGUUACGGGACUUAACCCAACAUCUCACGACACGAGCUGACGACAGCCAUGCAGCACCUGUCUCACGGUUCCCGAAGGCACUCUCGCAUCUCUACGAGAUUCCGUGGAUUCAAAGGUAGGUAAGGUUCUUCGCGUUGCAUCGAAUUAAACCACAUGCUCCACCGCUUGUGCGGGCCCCCGUCAAUUCAUUUGAGUUUUAACCUUGCGGCCGUACUCCCCAGGCGGAGAACUUAUCGCGUUAGCUACGAUACCAGAUGGUCUAAGCCACCUAACAUCUAGUUCUCAUAGUUUACGGCGUGGACUAC